UACGUAGGGAGCAAGCGUUGUCCGGAAUCAUUGGGCGUAAAGCGCGCGUAGGCGGCCUCAUAAGUCCGCUGUGAAAGUCAAAGGCUCAACCUUUGAAAGCCGGUGGAUACUGUGGGGCUAGAGUACGGAAGAGGCGAGUGGAAUUCCUGGUGUAGCGGUGGAAUGCGCAGAUAUCAGGAGGAACACCAAUAGCGAAGGCAGCUCGCUGGGACGUUACUGACACUGAGACGCGAAAGCGUGGGGAGCGAACAGG
rnacentral:rRNA from 1 species